rnacentral:rRNA from 1 species
AACGCGAAGAACCUUACCUGGGCUCGAAAUGCAGGAGACCGGGGUAGAAAUAUCCUUUCCUCGCAAGAGGCUGCUGUAUAGGUGCUGCAUGGCUGUCGUCAGCUCGUGUCGUGAGAUGUUGGGUUAAGUCCCGCAACGAGCGCAACCCUCAUCCCUAGUUGCCACCGGGUAAUGCCGAGCACUCUAGUGAAACCGCCCCGGAUAACGGGGAGGAAGGUGGGGAUGACGUCAAGUCCUCAUGGCCUUUAUGUCCAGGGCUACACACGUGCUACAAUGGUCGGUACAAACCGUCGCAAAGCCGCAAGGUGGAGCUAAUCGGAAAAAGCCGGCCUCAGUUCGGAUUGGAGUCUGCAACUCGACUCCAUGAAGCUGGAAUCGCUAGUAAUCGCAGAUCAGAACGCUGCGGUGAAUACGUUCCCGGGCCUUGUACACACCGCUGUA